AUUGAACGCUGGCGGCAUGCUUUACACAUGCAAGUCGAACGGUAACAGGCCUUCGGGUGCUGACGAGUGGCGAACGGGUGAGUAAUGCAUCGGAACGUACCCAGAGGUGGGGGAUAACGCAGCGAAAGCUGUGCUAAUACCGCAUGUGAUCUGAGGAUGAAAGCGGGGGACCGCGCAGCAAUGUUUGGCCUCGCGCCUUUGGAGCGGCCGAUGUCGGAUUAGCUAGUUGGUGGGGUAAAGGCCUACCAAGGCGACGAUCCGUAGCUGGUCUGAGAGGACGACCAGCCACACUGGGACUGAGACACGGCCCAGACUCCUACGGGAGGCAGCAGUGGGGAAUUUUGGGCAAUGGGCGCAAGCCUGAUCCAGCAAUGCCGCGUGAGGGAAGAAGGCCUUCGGGUUGUAAACCGCUUUUGGCAGGAACGAAACGGUGUCCGCUAAUACCGGGCGCUAAUGACGGUACCUGCAGAAUAAGCACCGGCUAACUACGUG
rnacentral:rRNA from 1 species